rnacentral:rRNA from 1 species
ACGGGUGAGUAAUGUCUGGGAAACUGCCUGAUGGAGGGGGAGUAACUACUGGAAACGGUAGCUAAUACCGCAUAACGUCGCAAGACCAAAGAGGGGGACCUUCGGGCCUCUUGCCAUCAGAUGUGCCCAGAUGGGAUUAGCUAGUAGGUGGGGUAACGGCUCACCUAGGCGACGAUCCCUAGCUGGUCUGAGAGGAUGACCAGCCACACUGGAACUGAGACACGGUCCAGACUCCUCGGGAGGCAGCAUG